rnacentral:misc_RNA from 1 species
UACAGAGGGCGCGAGCGUUGUCCGGAAUCACUGGGCGUAAAGGGCGCGUAGGUGACCACCAUAAGGCCGCGGUGAAAGUCUGGGGCUCAACCCCGGAUCGGCCGCGGCGACUGUGGGGCUUGGGCACUGUAGAGGCAGUUGGAAUUCCGGGUGUAGCAGUGGAAUGCGUAGAGAUCCGGAAGAACACCAGUGGCGAAGGCGGUCUGCUGGGCAGUGAGCUCGCAAGAGUUCAAUAGCCGACACUGAGGCGCGACAGCGUG